GGAAUCUUCCACAAUGGGCGAAAGCCUGAUGGAGCAACGCCGCGUGUGCGAUGAAGGCUUUCGGGUCGUAAAGCACUGUUGUAUGGGAAGAACAGCUAGAAUAGGAAAUGAUUUUAGUUUGACGGUACCAUACCAGAAAGGGACGGCUAAAAUACGUGCCAG
rnacentral:rRNA from 1 species